UCAGCUGUUGGCACGGUGCUUGGGAGCGUGGGCAAUCUCACGGUUCAGGAGAGUACAUUUUUGUGUGGGGUGGCCUUUGUAGUGGAAUUCCUGAAAGAUGAGCUGAUGCGGGUCCAGGCCUACCUGAAAGACGUCGGCAACAAAUGGAGAUCAGGAGACGCUAGGGCUGCUAUCUUGGUCACCCAGAUCAGGGCUGCAGCAUACGAGGCUCAGAAUGUCAUCGAAGCCGCAGCUUACUUGGAGAGCAGAAACCGGCUCAAUCAUGGAUUCAUGGGUCUCAUUCCAAGGUAUGCUCGCUUACCUGGUGACCUGAGCACCCGUCAUAAAAUCGGCGUUGAAAUUCGACGCGUAAGAAGGAAGCUCGGUGAGAUCUUUGCAAGCGCAGAAAAUAUGAACAUUGAUUUGGAUAGUACUGCUGUAGUUGAAGAUGUGUAUCCACAAGAUUUUGGUCUUAUGCACCAAUGCUUUGAAGAGGAUUUUGUCAUGGUUGGUUUCGAGGAUGAGCACAAAGAAAUAGUCGACAAGUUAGUUGAAAAGCAGAGCAUGCUUAGCGCUGUCUCCAUAGUUGCUAUGGGCGGGGCCGGAAAAACAACACUUGCAAGAAAAGUCUACACUUCAUCUAGGGUCAAAGAGCACUUUGACACGGUUGCUUGGGUGACUAUAUCUCAGAAGUUCACCGGCAUUGAUUUACUAAAGGACAUCAUGCGACAAAUAGUCAGGGGCGGAGAUGACACCAGAGAAAUCGAUCAAGCUUCAGAGUAUAAGGUGGGGAAAAAGAUCCGGGAUUUCCUAUUACAUAAAAGAUACUUGGUAGUCCUCGAUGAUGUGUGGGAAACAGAUACAUGGGAGCAAAUAAAUAGAAUGGUUAAGGUCUUUCCAGAUGAAGCUAAAGGCAGUAGAAUACUACUAACCACACGAAAGGAAGAUGUUGCAAAUCAUAUUCCAAUGCCGACGCAUGUUCAUGCUCUUAAGCACUUGGAUGACUUGUCGGCCGCGGGGCUAUUUAGUACCAAAGCUUUACCAUCAUACAGAAGAUCUAUCACACGUGACAUGGAUGUGUUUGAAGAACUAGGUAGAAAGCUUGCAAGGAAGUGUGAUGGAUUGCCACUUGCACUUGCAGUUCUCGGGGGUUAUCUGUCAAAGAAUCUAAAUACACAAACAUGGUCCAAUAUACUACUGGACUGGACAUCAACCAAAGACACACAAGUGAUGCAAGAUAUACUAGCUCGCAGUUACAAAGACCUGCCAAAUCAUUGUUUAAGAUCUUGUUUUCUCUAUCUUGCUGCUUUUCCCGAGUAUUCUGACAUUGAUGUGUCGGAUCUUAUUCAAUUGCGGAUAGCAGAAAGCUUCAUUCCACAUACAUCAAAGCAUAAAUUAGAAGAAACAGCACAUAUGUAUGUAACUGAGUUGGCUCAGAGAAGCUUGGUCCAAGUUGUUGAAAGAAGCAAGGCGCAUGGAUGGAUAGAAACAAUAAGGAUUCACGAUAUCUUACAUGACUGGUGCAAAGAAGAAGCAAGACAAGAUGGUUUUCUCGAUAUCUUCGACAGAGGAACAGGCCAAACAAAUGCAUCGGAUACAAUGAUAUUUUAUCGUUCUUCUUUUCAAGCUUUGAGUGAUCAGGUUUUACAUGCAACACCUAAUAUCCGGACUCUGCAUGCCUUUGGGCUCUUUUCGGCGUCUCUGCCUAAGUUGAGGUUGCUAAGAGUUCUCCACAUUGAAAACUCAAGGCUGAAAGAUUUUUCUGGAGUACUUGCUGGGUGCAUUCACCUAAGAUAUCUUAGGUUGAGAGGAUGUGAAGAUGUGACCCUACCUUCUACAAUUGGACGGCUUCUUUACCUGCACACUAUAGAUCUUAGGUACACAGAAUUGGACUCACAAGUACCUAACACACUAUGGGAUAUCCCUACUCUAAGGCAUGUUUACCUUUGGAAUGGCUUUCCUCCACCACCAGCUGCAAAUUGUGUGCGACAGCAGCAGAAAUAGCUUCAGACCUUAAACCUCAGAAUUGUUGGCAAAGAAUAUCAUUAUGAUGACAUGGUGAUGUACCUGGGUCUCAUGAGUCAGCUAACAACCUUCUCCUUGUCAAUGACCACCAUACCUGCAGAGAUGAUUACCAUAUUUGCAAAUAUGCCUCACCUAGUUGAUAUUUAUCUUGGCAAAUUUGGUGUGCUGGAAAAGCUGCCCGCUGAGUUCCCAAGAAGCCUACGAUGUCUUUAUCUAGUUGUCGUUGUCAUGAAACAAGAUCCAAUGCCAGUCCUUGAGAAGCUUCCAUGUCUUGUGGUGCUCAUGUUGGGCGGUUAUGAAGGCCAAACCAUGUCCUGCUCUGCCCAAGGGUUUCCUCGGCUGCAAGAGUUGCAACUUGUUAAGUUUUCUAUGGAGAAGUGGGGGAUGGAAGAAGGGACAAUGCCAAAGCUUUACCGCCUAACACUGUGUGUGUGUGGGAAGUUAAGCAGGCUCCCUGAGGGUUUGCUGAACCUUUUGACACUCAAUCAGCUAGUACUAGAAUGUGUGCCACUGAUUUCUGAAGAUGACACGACAUUAAAUGAGUUGAAGCAGAAAAGAUGCAAGGUAGCGUGA
rnacentral:rRNA from 1 species